GAGUUUGAUCGUGGCUCAGGAUGAACGCUGGCGGCGUGCUUAACACAUGCAAGUCGAACGAAGCACUUUAACCUGAUUCUUCGGAUGAAGGUUUUUGUGACUGAGUGGCGGACGGGUGAGUAACGCGUGGGUAACCUGCCUCAUACAGGGGGAUAACAGUUAGAAAUGACUGCUAAUACCGCAUAAGACCACGGAGCCGCAUGGCUCAGUGGGAAAAACUCCGGUGGUAUGAGAUGGACCCCG
rnacentral:rRNA from 1 species